CCUACGGGCGGCUGCAGUGAGGAAUAUUGGUCAAUGGGCGCGAGCCUGAACCAGCCAAGUAGCGUGAAGGAUGACUGCCCUACGGGUUGUAAACUUCUUUUAUAAAGGAAUAAAGUGAGGCACGUGUGCCUUUUUGUAUGUACUUUAUGAAUAAGGAUCGGCUAACUCCGUGCCAGCAGCCGCGGUAAUACGGAGGAUCCGAGCGUUAUCCGGAUUUAUUGGGUUUAAAGGGAGCGUAGAUGGGUUGGUAAGUCAGUUGGGAAAGUUUGCGGCUCAACCGUAAAAUUGCAAUUGAUACUGGAAGGCUUGAGUACAGUUGAGGUAGGCGGAAUUCGUGGUGUAGCGGUGAAAUGCUGAGAUAUCACGAAGAACUCCGAUGGCGAAGGCAGCCUACUAAACUGCCACUGACAUUGAGGCGCGAAAGUGUGGGUAGCAAACAGGAUUAGAUACCCGGGUAGUC
rnacentral:rRNA from 1 species